CCUACGGGAGGCAGCAGUGGGGAAUAUUGGGCAAUGGAGGCAACUCUGACCCAGCAACGCCGCGUGCAUGAUGAAGGUCUUCGGAUUGUAAAGUUCUGUGAUGGGGGAUGAACACAAUGACUGUACCCUAAUUGCAAGCUACGGCUACCUACUGGCCAGCGGCUGGGGGAAUACGUAGGAGGCAAGCGUUAUCCGGAAUGACUGGGCGGAAAGGCCGCGGAGGUGGUUUAGUAAGUUGGCGGGGUAAUUCCGGGGCUUAACCUCGGCGCUACCGCGAAUACUAGUAAACUAGAGUGAAGGAGGGGUAAGUGGAAUUCCAUGUGAAGCGGUGGAAUGCGUAGAUAUUAGGAAGAACAUCAGAGGCGAAGGCGACUUACUGGGCUGUAACUGACACUGAGGCACGAAAGCGUGGGGAGCAAACAGGAUUAGAUACCCUAGUAGUC
rnacentral:rRNA from 1 species